rnacentral:rRNA from 1 species
UGCCGCGUGUGUGAAGAAGGCUUUCGGGUUGUAAAGCACUUUCAGUGGGGAAGAAGGCUUGUCGGCCAAUACCCGGCAAGAGCGACAUCACCCACAGAAGAAGCACCGGCUAACUCCGUGCCAGCAGCCGCGGUAAUACGGAGGGUGCAAGCGUUAAUCGGAAUUACUGGGCGUAAAGCGCGCGUAGGCGGCUUGUCACGCCGGGUGUGAAAGCCCCGGGCUCAACCUGGGAACGGCAUCCGGAACGGGCAGGCUAGAGUGCAGGAGAGGAAGGUAGAAUUCCCGGUGUAGCGGUGAAAUGCGUAGAGAUCGGGAGGAAUACCAGUGGCGAAGGCGGCCUUCUGGACUGACACUGACGCUGAGGUGCGAAAGCGUGGGUAGCAAACAGGAUUAGAUACCCUGGUAGUCCACGCCGUAAACGAUGUCGACUAGCCGUUGGGUCCCUUGAGGACUUAGUGGCGCAGUUAACGCGAUAAGUCGACCGCCUGGGGAGUACGGCCGCAAGGUUAAAACUCAAAUGAAUUGACGGGGGCCCGCACAAGCGGUGGAGCAUGUGGUUUAAUUCGAUGCAACGCGAAGAACCUUACCUACCCUUGACAUCCUGCGAACCCGGAAGAGAUUCCGGGGUGCCUUCGGGAGCGCAGAGACAGGUGCUGCAUGGCUGUCGUCAGCUCGUGUUGUGAAAUGUUGGGUUAAGUCCCGUAACGAGCGC